rnacentral:rRNA from 1 species
GACGAACGCUGGCGGCGUGCUUAACACAUGCAAGUCGAACGGAAAGGCCUCUUUCGGGGGGUACUCGAGUGGCGAACGGGUGAGUAACACGUGAGUAACCUGCCCUUGACUUUGGGAUAACUUCAGGAAACUGGGGCUAAUACCGGAUAGGAGCUCCUGCUGCAUGGUGGGGGUUGGAAAGUUUCGGCGGUUGGGGAUGGACUCGCGGCGUAUCAGCGUGUUGGUGGGGUAGUGGCUUACCAAGGCUUUGACGGGUAGCCGGCCUGCGAGGGUGACCGGCCACACUGGGACUGAGAGACGGCCCGGACUCCUACGGGAGGCAGCAGUGGCGAAUAUUGCACAAUGGGUGGCCGCCUGAUGCAGCAACGCCGUGGGCGGGAUGACGGCCUUCGGGUUGUAAACCGCUUUCGCUCAUGACGAAGCUUUGUGUGACGGUAGUGGGUAAAGAAGCACCGGCUAACUUCGUG